CCCUUAGAUGUUCUGGGCCGCACGCGUGCUACACUGAGUGGAUCAGCGGGUCAGGUUGCGCGAAAGCGUUUCCUAAUCUUUAAAUCCGCUCGUGAUGGGGAUUGACGGUUGCAAUUUUCUGUCAUGAACGAGGAAUACCUUGUAAGCGCGGGUCAUCAUCCCGCGCUGAAUACGUCCCUGCCCUUUGUACACACCGCCCGUCGCUCCUACCGAUUGAGUGGUCCGGUGAGACUUUGGGACCUGAGCGGAAAGAGCGUUUCGCUGUUUCUGCUCGGAAAACUCAGUCGAACCUUAUCAUUUAGAGGAAGGAGAAGUCGUAACA
rnacentral:rRNA from 1 species